GACGAACGCUGGCGGCGUGCCUAAUACAUGCUAGUAGAACGCAGUUGCGAACGGGUGAGUAACGCGUAGGUAACUGCCUCAUAGCGGGGGAUAACUAAUGGAAACGCUAGCUAAUACCGCAUACUGUGAGAUGGACCUGCGUUGUAUUAGCUAUUUGGUGAGGUAAAGGCUCACCAAGGCGACGAUACAUAGCCGACCUGAGAGGUUGCACGGCCACACUGGGACUGAGACACGGCCCAGACUUCUACGGGAGGCAGCAGGAGGGACUCUUCGGGAAUGGACGAAAGUCCGACGGAGCAACGCCGCGUGAGUGAAGAAGGUUUUCGGAUCGUAAAACUCUGUUGUUAGAGAAGCGGUAUCUAACCAGAAAGCCACGGCGAACUACGUGCCAGCAGCCGCGUAAUUC
rnacentral:rRNA from 1 species